UACGGAGGAUGCGAGCGUUAUCCGGAUUUAUUGGGUUUAAAGGGUGCGCAGGCGGAAAGAUAAGUCUGAUGUGAAAGCCCCCGGCUUAACCGAGGAAUUGCAUCGGAAACUGUGUUUCUUGAGUGCAGAAGAGGAGAGUGGAACUCCAUGUGUAGCGGUGGAAUGCGUAGAUAUAUGGAAGAACACCAGUGGCGAAGGCGGCUCUCUGGUCUGUAACUGACGCUGAGGCUCGAAAGCAUGGGUAGCGAACAGG
rnacentral:rRNA from 1 species